GUCCCGGAUCCCGUCGCUCUUGUGUUCUCUGUUUUUUUCCGUGCAAGUCCCGAAGUCCAAGCGCUCCAAAUUUCUUCCUGUCUAGAGUUUUUUGGGUAAGGCGUUGCGGACGCUCCGACUGUGAGAGGCUCUCCCAGUGUGUGUGUGUGUUUUUUUUUUUUUUUUUUUUUUUUUUUUGGUUUUUUCAACGGAGGCUCGGCUCAGCUCCGUUUUUCCUUCGUUUUGCUAAGGUGCCGUGAUGCAGCAUCUUGUUUUUUUUACUUCUCUCGAAGCUCCGCGAUUGGCAGCUGUGUCGCAGUGGUACUGCAUACUGGUUUUGGUUCUUCACUUGUUUAGGGUGGGGGUGUGGUUGCAAUUGCCCUUGUUUCGUAAAGGUGUUGCUCACCUUCAGCCAUCGAUUCCGGUGCUGCGAUGGCGUCCAGUUCGGUGAUUGAAGCUGCCGAAGUCUGAAGUUCCGAUUCCUAAAGGUUACGUUGUGGCGGUCCAAGGCUAGUGGAGCGUGCAACGUAGCGUUACAGUAGUGGAGUGCCAUCCUCGACGUGUAUACUCAAUCCUCUUUCUUGAUCUGGUGCCAACGGCACGAGGUAGUGUCGUUUGGUACUGUGUUUUUAUUUUCCGAAUUCCCUCCUCCUUGGUUCCCUGAUUUAGUAGUGGAUGUUGGCGGCGGCAGUUGGAUGAGUACAUGAGGGAAGCAAGGUAGUAGGAUGUUUUGCCCCUCUCAUUUCGUCGGCUGUGGUCGACGUUCCUCAUGUUGCAACGGUCGCUGCGGCACUGGUUUUUAAAGACGCCAACAUUGGCUGCGGUAGCAUCAAGGGUGGCAUGCCAGUUUAGAUUUUUUAAAUCUCGUUCUCAAGCUACUAGUGUGCUGUCAGGGGCUAUCAUCAUUCCAUUCGUGGAGUUCUUAUUCAAGAUCAAUUUCUGACAUCGGUAAUUUGAGGCAGCAGGGACCUUCAUGAACAUUGCAUCCGAAACUCCUGAUUGUACACUUGUUGCCUCGAUGUCUAACAAAAGACAACUUGAGAGCUUUUGGAUCCGACCUGCAUUGCCAAUCAUUCGUCCCUUUGUCCUAGUUGGAAUUCUGUAGUUGGAUAAAAAGCAAGCAACGUUUAUUCCAGGAUUAUCCGUGCACUUCUCAAGCCAUUGGAAUCUAUGCUGAACAAAGCAACUCACUAGCAAUCAGCCUAGAGUCCGCAUUGGGUCGUUAGCCCCCUCAAGCGUGCUAUUGCUCCAAGGUCUCCUCGUACUGCAGAUUGGUCCCCGAGCUCGGAUCCAGGAGGAGGAGUGCUUGCUGAGGAGGUCCUAAGGUGAGCAGACCGUAGCCUAAGUGCAAGUGGUGAGGAUUCCAACGACGAGGCUUUGACGAGAUUUGGAGCCAUAUAGGAUUCUCAGAUCAUUGCGUAGCGGGGAAUAAAUUAUUAGAGCAAUAAGAAUGGAGGUUGGAACUGGAGUGAAGGUUUUGUUGGUGGAACUGUGGACUUUGGAGUUGCAGCCUUCAUCAACCUGUUGGGUUACUCCACAUUCGUGCUGUGAACUGGGGUUGAUCAUCUACACACCUUUGAUGUUCUUUGACUUGGUGAGAAUUUCCAAAGUAGAUUAGACCAUUAUUGGAUGAGAUCUAGUUGGAUGAAGUUAUAUUAGGAUUUAAAGAAUUUAGAGUUGGACGAAUUAUUUGGAUGAAUUUUCAAUCAAGAAUGAAUGUAAAGCAAGUUGGAUGAUAAAUUGUGGAUGAAAUUUUAUUAA